rnacentral:rRNA from 1 species
UACGGGGGGGGCAAGCGUUGUUCGGAAUUACUGGGCGUAAAGGGCUCGUAGGCGGCCAACUAAGUCAGACGUGAAAUCCCUCGGCUUAACCGGGGAACUGCGUCUGAUACUGGAUGGCUUGAGAUUGGGAGAGGGAUGCGGAAUUCCAGGUGUAGCGGUGAAAUGCGUAGAUAUCGGGAGGAACACCAGUGGCGAAGGCGGCUUCCUGGCCUGUUCUUGACGCUGAGGCGCGAAAGCUAGGGGAGCAAACGGG